AACAUCCCUCCUCCUGCAAUGUGUGAGAAUUGCCCUCUAAGGCCCAUACCCAAAAUGGCAUCUCUGGGCAUGUCUUCUCUGUUCCUUUAGUUUCAACUGUUCAUGUCAUGUUUUAGUUGGGUCUCUUAUAAAUAGUAUAUAUGAUUGGGGUGUGUGUCUGUUUAAAUGCAAUUUGAGAAUCUUUCUCUUUUAACUGGCAAAAUAAUGUGUUUACAGUAAUUGCAAUUGAUAAUAUAUUUUGAUUUGUUUCUAUCAUCUCAUUUGGUGUUUCUCUGCUGACCAUGUUCUUUAUUUCUCUUUUUCUCAUCGUCUUCCAUUGGUUUAAUCAAGCUUUUUCUUUCUUCCCCUCCCCUCUACCCGUUCGGCAGUUCUACAUUCAAAUUCUACUCUUUUAGAGAUAAUCUUUAAAUCUUUAAAACGCACACUCUAUUUAGUGAAGCCUAUGUUUAAUCAACAUUUACAUGCAGUCACCAAACAGUGUAAGAGCCUCAGAAGGCAGUAACUCUGAUCUCUACUCCUUUCCUUCACAUUGCUGUAACUAAGUAGUUUCCCCACUUAGAGAGUAGUUUUAACACUCCCACUAGUCAUGGUCCUUGUUAUUGUUGUAGCUGAAUAUUUAGUUCUACUCAUAUGUUCACCUUCGUUUUUCUCAUCAUUGCUUUCAUAUCCCACUCCUUCCUUCUUGGUUCAAUUUCCCUCUUUCAGAAACACAUCCUUUAGUCGUUCUUCUGUCAGAGUUUGCAGAUGGUAAAUUCAGUCUUUUUGUAAAAUAUCUUUAUUUUGCUCUCAUCCUCAAAUGAUGAUUUAGAUGGGCACUGAAUUCUAGGUAGCACCUAUUUUCUCCCAGUCCUUGGAAUGUAUUUUUCUGAUGUCAGUCUAAUUGUCUUUCUUUUGCAGGUAAUGUAUCUUGUCUCCUUAGCCGCUUUUCUUCUGUUAAAGGAUUUUAUUUUAAGGCAUUCCAUUAUCGAGGUACUUCUUGACAGUGAAGAAGGAGGCCAAGCUUGGGAGUCAUGGCUCUGGGUUCAAUGUAACUUCUCCACUUACAAGAGACCCAUCUAUUCUACGCAUUGGGCCACAGCCCCUUAAAGGGGGUGCCUGGGAUGGACAGAUGAUGAGCGUGCAUACGUCUCAAGAGCAUUUACAGAGCAAGGAGCAGCAAUACCUUAACCGGUGCACUGACUAUUGGCCUCAUCAUUUUGGGAAAGCUCCUCUGUGAACAAAAUGGACAGUCCCUAGUCAGCUGGGAUUGUCAGGAAUUCCAGGCCGUGUGUGGUUACGGAAGGCCAUGGGGUCUUGAGAGAGGAAACUGACACACUGACCUCCAUUCUGAUGAGCCCCUAGGAACCUAGAGGCGCCUCCUCUCCACUCCUCCAAGUGAGCCUAUUGCUGCAAUCCCAGGACACUGUCCAGGUGGGCCACUGAGCCGUGCGGGGAGAGAGGGGCACUCGGCAGCAGAGCCUCUCGCAGCCCUGGCUUCUCAUACGGACUGUCACCCACCUCUGCCCCUGUCCAAUCUGUAUUUCCAGAUCAUCUCUUGUGGGAACAGCUGUACUUUCCUCAACCUGAGGAAAUUGCUAAACUCUGGGCCACUUAAGGGAGAACUGAGAGACAGAGGUGCCAGCACUGCCCCUGAUGCAUACAAGCAUCUGAUAAACACCUAUGAAGUGAACGACUACUCCUGGCCUGCAAUCAGUAGCCUAUUGCACUCUCGGUCUAUGAGCUUCUUUCAUUCCAGCUCCAUGUACAGCUCCCUCAGGCACAUGACAGACCCCAAAGAAAUGUCAGUGAGUUGUAAUGUGGGUCUUAGAUGCUGGCCUGCACAUGACUGACCACCACCUCCCUCCCCGCCAGCCCCAGGCCUUCUGGAUAUUUUUGUAGGGUACUUACCAGUCUGGGCACAGCUAAGAUCUUCCUUUACCCAGUAACCCUGCUAUUGGCAGACAGGUGUGAAAAGAACAGAAAGCAGACCUCACGGUCUGCUGAUCUAAUUACUGCUGUUCAGAGCAGCUGAGUUUUGGUCUGAAACGCUCCUAAUGGCAGGUCUGUCUGUGGAACAAGAGCAGACACUGUGAGCUUUAAAUAGGGGGUUGACAGGCCACGGCUGAC
ensembl:lncRNA